CAAUAGCGUAUAUUAAAGUUGUUGCAGUUAGAACGCUCGUAGUCGGAUUUCGGGGCGGUCCGACCGGUCUGCCGAUGGGUACGCACUGGUCGGCGCGUCCUUCCUUCCGGAGACCGUGCCUACUCUUAACUGAGCGGGUGCGGGAGACGGAUCGUUUACUUUGAAAAAUCAGAGUGUUUCAAGCAGGCAGCUCGCUCUUGCAUGGAUUAGCAUGGGAUAAUGAAAUAGGACUUUGGUGCUAUUUUGUUGGUUUCGAACACCGAAGUAAUGAUUAACAGGGACAGUCAGGGGCACUCGUAUUCCGCCGAGAGAGGUGAAAUUCUUAGAUUGCGUUACGACGAACUACUGCGAAAGCAUUUGCCAAGGAUGUUUUCAUUGAUCAAGAACGAAAGUAUGGGGAUCGAAGACGAUCAGAUACCAU
rnacentral:rRNA from 1 species